rnacentral:sRNA from 1 species
UCAUACGCGACUGCUCCUGUCUGAGGGCCGGCU